rnacentral:tRNA from 2 species
GUGGAUGUAGCUCAGCUGGUUAGAGCGUCGGAUUGUGGUUCCGAAGGUCGCGGGUUCGAGCCCCGUUCUCCACCCA